AACGCACCUUGCGCUCCUUGGUAUUCCGAGGAGCAUGCCUGUUUGAGUGUCAUUAUAUACUCAACUCCCUUGAUUUUUUAAUUGAAAUCAUUCGAGUUGGAUUUGGAGGUAUCUGUGCUGGCUCUCGCGGGUCGGCUCCUCUUAAAUGCAUUAGCUGAGCUUUCACUUGAUGCAAUGGUGUAAUAAUUAUCUUCACCGAUGCAACUAGUGAUACAGGCUUGCUUCUAAUCGUCUCUUAACUGAGACAAUAUAAAAGAAAAAAACUCCUUUUGGGGGGUUUGAUCUUUUUGACUCUUUUGACCUCAAAUCAGGUAGGAUUACCCGCUGAACUUAA
rnacentral:misc_RNA from 1 species